UACGUAGGGGGCUAGCGUUGUCCGGAAUCAUUGGGCGUAAAGCGCGCGUAGGCGGCCCGGUAAGUCCGCUGUAAAAGUCAAAGGCUCAACCUUUGAAUGUCAGUGGAUACUGCCGGGCUAGAGUCCGGAAGAGGAGAGUGGAAUUCCUGGUGUAGCGGUGAAAUGCGCAGAUAUCGAAGGAAGAACCACCCGUAGGCGGAAGGCGGCGUCUCUGGGACGGUACGUGACGCUGAAGGAGCGGAAAGC
rnacentral:rRNA from 1 species